rnacentral:tRNA from 1 species
UGAAUUUUUUAUUGUGAUUAAAAAAGUUUUUAGCUAUA